rnacentral:rRNA from 1 species
AGUGAACGUUGGCGGCGUGCCUAACACAUGCAAGUCGAACGACCCAGCACUUUGCUUGCAAAGUACUGGGGGGUGGCGAACGGGUGAGUAACACAUGGGUAAUCUUCCCUCGAGUGAGGAAUAAUCUCGCGAAAGCGGGACUAAUACCCCAUAAUACUGUGGAGAAUAAGCUCUCACAGUCAAAGUUUUCCGAGCAAUCGGAAGGCGCUUGAGGAUGAGCCUGUGGCCUAUUAGCUAGUUGGUAGGGUAAUUGCCUACCAAGGCAAUGAUGGGUAGCCGGCUUGAGAGGGUGUACGGCCACACUGGGAUUGAGACACGGCCCAGACUCCUACGGGAGGCAGCAGUGAGGAAUUUUGCGCAAUGGGCGAAAGCCUGACGCAGCGACGUCGCGUGGAGGAUGAAGGCCUUCGGGUUGUAAACUCCUGUCAGAGGAGAAGAAACCCCGAGUAAUCGGGGGUGACGGUAUCCUCAGAGGAAGCCCCGGCUAACUACGUG